CAGCAGCCGCGGGAAUACGUAGGUGGCGAGCGUUGUCCGGAAUCAUUGGGCGUAAAGCGUGCGCAGGCGGUUAUAUAAGUCAGAUGUGAAAUCCCCGGGCUCAACCUGGGAACUGCAUUUGAGACUGUAUGGCUAGAGUGUGUCAGAGGGGGGUAGAAUUCCACGUGUAGCAGUGAAAUGCGUAGAUAUGUGGAGGAAUACCGAUGGCGAAGGCAGCCCCCUGGGAUAACACUGACGCUCAUGCACGAAAGCGUGGGAAGCAAACAGGAUUAGAUACCCGAGUAGUCCCUGUCUCUUAUAC
rnacentral:rRNA from 1 species